GGGCAUUGGGCACAUAUGAUACUUCAAAUGGAUUAACAAAUCGACAUCGAUGAAGAGCACUAUUGUCCUUCAAUCUCUUAUAUAAGUGGCUAAAAAAGUGGAAAAAAUAAAUUAACUCAGUAGAAAUGAUUUGUUACUUUAAAAUUUGUUGCUUCCAAUUUUCCAAGUCAUCAAAAUGUAAUGAAAAAUUUUCAAUAUCUACCUAUAUGUUCAAAGUUAACAUACACCAAAUUUCAGCCUAGUUGGUCCCUGUUUACUAUGACAAUAAAUUUUUACAAGUUUACUACACAAAAUAGUGAAACUUUCUGGGAGAAACAGUUUUACGGGAGGAUUUCAUAGUCUUCCAGUUAUCAAAACGAAAUGAAAAUUUGACAGUAGCUAUAUAUAUAUUCCCAGUAUCUAUGCACAAAAUUUCAGCCCAAUCAGACCCCAUUUACUAUGACAAUAAAUUUUUACAAGUUUACUGCUCAAAACAAUAGAAAUUUGAGGCAUAAAAAGUUUGCAGGAGGAUUUCAUAGUCUUCCCGUCAUCAAAACAAAAUGAAAAUUUUACAGUAGCUAUAUAUACAUUCCCAGUAUCUAUCCACCAAAUUUCAGCCCAAUCAGACUCCAUUUACUAUAACAAAUGAAUAAAAGUCUGAAACAUCUUCACUAGAACAGAAAACCAUCUCACUUCACAAACUUAUGAGUCAAAUAUAUAUUCAAUCCUAGAAGCUUUAUACAUCUUCACAUGGUGGGGGCUUUCAGUUACACACACAAAACAUUAAGUUACAACCCAGAUGCAGAAUAUGGUGGAGAGUUAGUUACCUGAUGCAGAAUAUGGUGUGAAACGGCGUCUGAAACUGUAUGUUAUCGUUGGGAUCAUGUCGUCUGAAAUUGCUUGUUCUCGGUUGAGGGCGGCCGACGACGACGGUUGAGGAAGAGGACGGUUGACGACGGCAAUUAAGGGAGAGUCGGCGGUUUUCUGCACCAAAUGGCGGAGGAAGGCUGAGAGGGGGUUGACGAUGGCGGUCGAGGAAAGGCCGCGUUUUCUGUAACUGACGGCGGAGGGGAG
rnacentral:lncRNA from 1 species